AGAGAGCUGAUUGUUAAACAUUCAUCAGCACACUUCUUGUAAGAAGUGGCAGUUUGACAAGGCCUUUGAAGCUAGUGUGAGAUGACUGCAGCCUACCACUGGCAUAUCACACCUGAGAGAUGUCACCGAGGUGGCAACAUCCUGGGUAACACACACCCUUUUAGAAGAUGAAGAAUU